rnacentral:lncRNA from 13 species
AUGCAGAUACCCCUUCCACCAGAGGAAACAAAACAACUGCCCGUCUGCUGCUGGUGCCCCGCCAAUCCCCAACACCGCACACACGCAUCCCAAAUCCUCCUUCACUCCUACGUCCUCUGCGGACGACAACUUGGACGCUCCAAAGCCCGCAUUUCGCCCCGCACAGUCCGCAGGUCACCCCUCGGGCUGGAAGAAGGGGCAGGUGAAGCAGAAGGGCGGCGGGGGCAGCGCCGGCAGACGCAGCGCUUGGGUGCAAUGGAGAUUCCAACGCCGAGCGACCGCUUCCUGCGGCGGCUGGAGCAUCCCGGCGGGCACGGGAUGGGCAGCGCGGCUCCUGAGAAUGCUGCCUGCCACAGGACAAAUGAAGACUUGGGGGUCUGGGAAAACUCUCAGAAACACUAAACCCUUCUCUGCUAUCCACAACCCUCAUCCCUAAGUUAUCCAUAUGUAGGGAAGACUCCAGUGAGUAGAACCUGAUGGAUUUCAGGAUCCAUAAAUGCCUCCUCUGGAAUACAGGAGGAAUCUAGCCUGUUUCAACCACGUCCACCAAGGAAAUACACUCCACUUACCUAAAAUCAGGCCACAGAGAUACACAUAAACUUGUCUGUGAAUUCAGUCACCAAAAGUGGUGGUUUACAUGUCAAGUGAUGACGCAGAAUGAUUAUGGCGCAUCUGACAAGAAGGCCCUACUGGACAGAGGUCUGCCUAAUCAAAACCAUCCCACAAUUGGACACAUGUUAGCGUAAUUACGAAUGACUAACAAAUCUUGUCUGAACAUUUUUUUGUAAGAACUGUUGCUGUAAACCUAACAGAUUAAAGUCACUUUACCUUCCUGAUACUGAGCCCUGUUAACCCAGUGGAUGUAUGGACAUACAUGGCAGCAUACUCUUGUCACUGCUCUGCACCUGCAGGCUCUAGCCACCGUCAGUGUCUUCUCUUUGAUUACCUGUCAAAAUACUCCUUCAUCUUGGCACCUCUCUUCUUUCUUUCCCUUUCUCACCAAGGCAUUUAACUCAUAGAACUCUCUUCUUGUCUGGAAAAGUAAAUGGGGGAAUGAACCCAUGUUAGAACUAACUCAGCAAAAAAAUACUGCUUUGUUUUAAACUGAAUGUUUUUCCUCUCCAGCUCAGUGUGUGGCUCUAAGACCAGCAGUGGCAGGAAGGAUGGGGAUGUUGAGGGCAGCAGCAGUGCCCAGGGACUGGGGGAGGACAGGGUCAUUUCUUCCUCUGGCAGUGCUGGCUCAAAGUGUUUGUGUAACUGCAGGGUGCAGAGACACAAGCAGCUUGGGCUGAUCAAAGGAUGUCUUUUAUCAGCUCCUGUUGGCUCUUGUGCUGCGAGUGAGUGCUGUUCCUUUAUCUUUCUCUUCUGCUGUUCUACUCUGUGACCUGCCCAAGGACACAGGUUCCUACUGUCCCCUUCCAGCCUUCCCCCUGCCCCUUGCAUUAUCUCUCAUAAUUUUGAGGCCAGAGAAGACACUGUUUUACCUGGCUAAUCUGGAGGAAAAAUUAUGGAGGUGCGACCAACUUUCUGCUGAAUCAACCAACUCAGUCCACAGGCUGAGACUGUGACAGCUGAUGCGUGUCUGUGUUUAUCUUCUCUGUUCAGUUUUUGGCCUGCCCAGGUUCCUGACCUGCCUCUACCCAGCUUCAGGAAGGGCAGUGCUGGUGCAAUGGCAAAGGUAGGGUUAGAUGGGCAGAAAAUCAAGGGAGGGCUCAUAAAUACUGAGACACACUAAAGCUAUGUGCUCUGCUGCAGAAAAAAGGCACAACGAUCUGAAAAAGCACUUUGUGUUUUUUAAGACAUGAAGAACUUGUCUUCUUUAACUCUUACCAGCUGGGUUUGCAGCAUUACAGCUACAACAAAAGGUACACCAUGAACUACACCGUGUUUUUCAGCCUGCAGUAUUUGAUUCCUUCAAGAUUUUGGGCUGCUGGUGAGGGUUUUGGGAAAAUGACCAAGUCAAGAUUGUUGCCAGUAGGCUUCCACUUGACAUAUGCACACUGCAUGAGUACUGGAGAACGGUUACUGGAUUUCAAAUAAUAGUUGUUCUCCUCAGCAGGCUCCAGCAGCAGCAGCACUGGACUCAAUUUACAUCACAAAGUCUCAAAAGAGUCAAUGUGAAUGUAUUCAUUUAUAAAUUAUUUUUGCAUAGCUUUACUAGAUACCAGAAAAAUAGUACUGUACAAUUAUUUUUAUGCAGCUGACCUCUUUACCUGGCAUUAGCACUUCUUGAUGCUCAAAUCCUUCCAGCUACCUGAGAGAAGCACAGCACUAGGUUGAUGUCACACAUCUGGCAUUAGGACAUUUAUCUUUUCCUUUAUAUGGAGUGUGCACUUAUUCCACAUUAGCAGUUCCAGGUCAGUUUUCUUACCUAUAAACUAGGACGGAUAGUGAGGUAGCAGUAAGGUAGGUCUUUCUCUCUUCACCUGCCAGAAUUGUUCUGUCCUGACAGUGUGUUGAUGGGGCAGGACUUGUUUCCCUACUGCCAUCUUUUGUGUUCAUCUCACACAGACAUACUCCAUUUCCCAGAAAAAGUUCUGGAUCCUCCAACUAAAACAAUUCCAGUGUGUGAAUUCUCUGUUGCUUUUCCCAUGGGCCUUCAAAAGGACAAUCCUAGCAGUGAAACUUCCUUGUGCCAGUGAAGUAAAAUCCAGUUCCUGGCCGGUCACACCAGAGCUGGAGCGUUGGGAGAGUGUUUGGGGACAAACACAAGUUACCUGUACAAAAUACCCCAAGAACAGCCCUCUGAGUGCUGUGUCUCUCACUGGCAGCCAGGACUCUGCUGGUAGUGGGAUAAGGGAGCUUACACACAUGCAGCAUGACUAUUGAAAAGCUAGUAAGGGAUUUGUCUUUGAAAUUACUGAAUUUAAAUGCUUUUUUCAAAGUUAUGUAAUGGGUUCUCUUAAUUUCAGCUGUGCAUAACAAUAAUAAUAAUAUCUCACAGCUUAUUUGUAGUAUUACUAAAGUUGGUCAUUGUAUGUAAGGUUAUGUCUAAAGUAUAUGAAUUCGUAUUCUUCAGAGGGAGCUCUUUUUUGAAUUUUACUGAUUAAUGCAAGGAAGGAGAACUUUCCCAGUGGACUGAAAAUAGCAGAUAGAAACAAUUUCUAAUGUAGGUUCAAUAGAAAAACUACAUGGAGUACAAAAGUGUAUUCUGGUCUACUUUCAUCUCACUCCGCAACCAAACAAAAACACAUCUGAGGUUUGUUUGAGCUGGAAAAAAAUUUAAAUUAAGAGAAAUAAAACAGCAGGUGGGGGAAAGAGCAGAGCAGCUGCAACAGGCUGAUACUAAAUGUUGCCAAAUUUUAUACAGUCUUAAUCUGAGAGGCCACUUUGGCUUUAAGUUCGAAAAAUAUUGACUUUAUGCUCAGGGGACGCAGGGAAAUUUUUGUACAUGAUUGAGAUGAAAUAUAAAUGGAAUUACAUAGUUCAAGCUGGUUAACAGCAGUUUCAGUUAAACACAACCAAAAGUCCAAUGAUUGCUUUACACAAAGGAACUCCAGCAACCAACAUUCUCUUUAAACGUUACAAUAUUCCUUGUGAAGGUUAGGGCUUGUUUUUCAAAAUGCUUUUCCAAGUAAAGCCAAUUCUUUUAAUUGCAACAUCUAUGACUUCCUAAGUAUAAUCUGCCUUCUAGUUGUAUGUUCUCUGCUAGUUGCUUCUACAUGAAUUCCAGUGUGACUAGAGCAGCUGAAAUUGUUUUUAGCUGCUCUGUAAUGACAUCUUCAUCCUUAAUAGUAGGAGAAGGAAAAAUGUCACUAAAAGAAGUUAGAACUUUUGAACUAACUUUAGAACUACAAGCAGACUCAAGAGGGUAAAACAGAGAAAGGAAAAAUAUAUCAGGGCAAGUUCAAACUAAUAAGGAGGGCUGAAAAGCAUAAGAAAAAGAUUUUAAGGUAGUUACUAUUUUAAUUAUGAUAUACAGGAGAAAAUUAAUUAAUC